rnacentral:lncRNA from 1 species
CGUUUGAAAAGGUGACAAUAGCGUAUGGCUUCCCGCACCAAGUGCACACAGUACACUAGCGACAGGCACAAAGGCAACAUGAAACGGGCUGCUCUGUGCUCGGGUGUCGCAGAAGCACGGGCCAGAGAGCCGGUGGCUGCCCAGGACCAAAGGGACCCACAUCGACCUGCUGGGCACUGGGGCCUAGAGAGUGACCAGAGCGUGAUUAGAAGAGGCCGGAUCACAGGGAGCCCCAGUCCACUGAACCACAUCCAGAAGGUAGAAAGGUUGUUUCUCUCCCCUGGAUGCCUGUGGGGGUGGGGACGGCAGAGCCUCGGACACUGCCCGGGGAUCACUCUCAGGCUACUUUUCCCACCCUGCCAAGCUGCUCGAGACGUCAAAGGAGACCAGGCCGGUCAGCACACAGGCUUCUGGUAAGUGCCGCCCUCCGGUCUGGGAGCUCAGCUCUCCCCUUCUGACUCACCGCUCGGCGCUGACUCAUCGUGACGGCGAGUGGGGCUCCAGCUCCGCGGCAUUUCAUAGACAGCGCGGUCACAUUCCUUUCCAACAGUCGCUCUGGCCUCGAUGUCUAAGGCUCCGUGGGCAGCCGGCCUGUGGAUGAGGCGGCGGAAACCACAUCCUCUUCAUCAUCCUCUCACGAGGAAGGACACUGACAGCUUCGGAGAAGGCUGCCCAGUGUCUGCGGGUGCCCUUGGGAGAUGGCCUUGGGACACGGUGCCUGUGCCUGU